GUGUUUAGACAUUGGCUUGUCCCAGUAGUGAUGUGUAGAGUUGUUUAGACAUUGACUUGUCCCAGUAGUGAUGUGUAGAGUUGUUUAGACAUUGACUUGUCCCAGUAGUGAUGUGUAGAGUUGUUUAGACAUUGGCUUGUCCCAGUAGUGAUGUGUAGAGUUGUUUAGACAUUGGCUUGUCCCAGUAGUGAUGUGUAGAGUUGUUUAGACAUUGACUUGUCCCAGUAGUGAUGUGUAGAGGUGUUUAGACAUUGGCUUGUCCCAGUAGUAAUGUGUAGAGUUGUUUAGACAUUGGCUUGUCCCAGUAGUGAUGUGUAGAGGUGUUUAGACAUUGGCUUGUCCCAGUAGUAAUGUGUAGAGUUGUUUAGACAUUGACUUGUCCCAGUAGUGAUGUGUAGAGGUGUUUAGACAUUGGCUUGUCCCAGUAGUGAUGUGUAGAGUUGUUUAGACAUUGACUUGUCCCAGUAGUGAUGUGUAGAGGUGUUUAGACAUUGGCUUGUCCCAGUAGUAAUGUGUAGAGGUGUUUAGACAUUGGCUUGUCCCAGUAGUGAUGUGUAGAGGUGUUUAGACAUUGGCUUGUCCCAGUAGUAAUGUGUAGAGGUGUUUAGACAUUGGCUUGUCCCAGUAGUGAUGUGUAGAGGUGUUUAGACAUUGGCUUGUCCCAGUAGUAAUGUGUAGAGGUGUUUAGACAUUGGCUUGUCCCAGUAGUGAUGUGUAGAGUUGUUUAGACAUUGACUUGUCCCAGUAGUGAUGUGUAGAGUUGUUUAGACAUUGACUUGUCCCAGUAGUGAUGUGUAGAGUUGUUUAGACAUUGACUUGUCCCAGUAGUGAUGUGUAGAGUUGUUUAGACAUUGGCUUGUCCCAGUAGUGAUGUGUAGAGUUGUUUAGACAUUGGCUUGUCCCAGUAGUGAUGUGUAGAGUUGUUUAGACAUUGACUUGUCCCAGUAGUGAUGUGUAGAGUUGUUUAGACAUUGGCUUGUCCCAGUAGUGAUGUGUAGAGUUGUUUAGACAUUGGCUUGUCCCAGUAGUGAUGUGUAGAGGUGUUUAGACAUUGACUUGUCCCAGUAGUGAUGUGUAGAGUUGUUUAGACAUUGACUUGUCCCAGUAGUGAUGUGUAGAGGUGUUUAGACAUUGGCUUGUCCCAGUAGUGAUGUGUAGAGUUGUUUAGACAUUGACUUGUCCCAGUAGUGAUGUGUAGAGUUGUUUAGACAUUGGCUUGUCCCAGUAGUGAUGUGUAGAGUUGUUUAGACAUUGACUUGUCCCAGUAGUGAUGUGUAGAGUUGUUUAGACAUUGACUUGUCCCAGUAGUGAUGUGUAGAGGUGUUUAGACAUUGGCUUGUCCCAGUAGUGAUGUGUAGAGUUGUUUAGACAUUGACUUGUCCCAGUAGUGAUGUGUAGAGUUGUUUAGACAUUGACUUGUCCCAGUAGUGAUGUGUAGAGUUGUUUAGACAUUGGCUUGUCCCAGUAGUGAUGUGUAGAGUUGUUUAGACAUUGACUUGUCCCAGUAGUGAUGUGUAGAGGUGUUUAGACAUUGGCUUGUCCCAGUAGUGAUGUGUAGAGUUGUUUAGACAUUGACUUGUCCCAGUAGUGAUGUGUAGAGUUGUUUAGACAUUGACUUGUCCCAGUAGUGAUGUGUAGAGUUGUUUAGACAUUGGCUUGUCCCAGUAGUGAUGUGUAGAGGUGUUUAGACAUUGGCUUGUCCCAGUAGUGAUGUGUAGAGUUGUUUAGACAUUGGCUUGUCCCAGUAGUGAUGUGUAGAGUUGUUUAGACAUUGGCUUGUCCCAGUAGUGAUGUGUAGAGUUGUUUAGACAUUGGCUUGUCCCAGUAGUGAUGUGUAGAGGUGUUUAGACAUUGGCUUGUCCCAGUAGUAAUGUGUAGAGGUGUUUAGACAUUGACUUGUCCCAGUAGUGAUGUGUAGAGGUGUUUAGACAUUGACUUGUCCCAGUAGUGAUGUGUAGAGUUGUUUAGACAUUGGCUUGUCCCAGUAGUGAUGUGUAGAGGUGUUUAGACAUUGGCUUGUCCCAGUAGUGAUGUGUAGAGGUGUUUAGACAUUGGCUUGUCCCAGUAGUGAUGUGUAGAGGUGUUUAGACAUUGGCUUGUCCCAGUAGUAAUGUGUAGAGGUGUUUAGACAUUGACUUGUCCCAGUAGUGAUGUGUAGAGUUGUUUAGACAUUGGCUUGUCCCAGUAGUGAUGUGUAGAGGUGUUUAGACAUUGGCUUGUCCCAGUAGUGAUGUGUAGAGUUGUUUAGACAUUGGCUUGUCCCAGUAGUGAUGUGUAGAGGUGUUUAGACAUUGACUUGUCCCAGUAGUGAUGUGUAGAGGUGUUUAGACAUUGACUUGUCCCAGUAGUGAUGUGUAGAGGUGUUUAGACAUUGACUUGUCCCAGUAGUGAUGUGUAGAGGUGUUUAGACAUUGACUUGUCCCAGUAGUGAUGUGUAGAGGUGUUUAGACAUUGACUUGUCCCAGUAGUGAUGUGUAGAGUUGUUUAGACAUUGGCUUGUCCCAGUAGUGAUGUGUAGAGGUGUUUAGACAUUGGCUUGUCCCAGUAGUGAUGUGUAGAGUUGUUUAGACAUUGACUUGUCCCAGUAGUGAUGUGUAGAGUUGUUUAGACAUUGACUUGUCCCAGUAGUGAUGUGUAGAGGUGUUUAGACAUUGGCUUGUCCCAGUAGUGAUGUGUAGAGUUGUUUAGACAUUGACUUGUCCCAGUAGUGAUGUGUAGAGGUGUUUAGACAUUGACUUGUCCCAGUAGUGAUGUGUAGAGUUGUUUAGACAUUGGCUUGUCCCAGUAGUGAUGUGUAGAGGUGUUUAGACAUUGACUUGUCCCAGUAGUGAUGUGUAGAGGUGUUUAGACAUUGGCUUGUCCCAGUAGUGAUGUGUAGUGGUGUACAGACAUGUUUUGGGGAUUUAGAUGUAUUACUUUUAAUGCUAGAAAGUGAGAGAGAAAAAUGUAUGUAUCAUAUACAUCAAUAAAAA